rnacentral:piRNA from 1 species
UCUGAGCAUAGUAAGAAAAGUUGUCUGCUCC